rnacentral:rRNA from 1 species
AUACGGAGGGUGCAAGCGUUAUUUCGGAAUCACUGGGCGUAAGGGACGCGUAGGCGGGUUGGCAAGUCAGAUGUGAAAUCCUACAGCUUAACUGUAGAACUGCAUUUGAAACUGCUAACCUAGAGUAUGGGAGGGGGAGAUGGAAUUAGUGGUGUAGGGGUAAAAUCCGUAGAUAUCACUAGGAAUACCGAAAGCGAAGGCGAUCUCCUGGAACAUAACUGACGCUAAGGCGUGAAAGCGUGGGGAGCAAACAGGAUUAGAAACCCUAGUAGUCC